GUGACGCCAGGACAUAGAACAUGGAUUCAAAACACAAUGACCCACAACACGGCAACACAACGAAAGUGCUCGUGAAUGCUUGUGAAAGUAAAAGGAUAAGAGGAGGUUGAAGAGCCAGACACUGGUCUUGUCACCCUCUGGCUCAGGACCAGUGAAGAUGAGAUUUUUGCGGAAGCUCUGUCACCCUCCAGAGAACCACUGGCCUCGCGACAACUCUCAAAGCAACACUUCUGUGAGUUAUGAGUCGACAACGUGAUAAGGAAACGGCAACAUGUCAGCUCAGACAGGCCCUGCACCCUGACUCACAACUCGCACGGAACUCAAAUGAUUUCUUCUGUGUGCCGGAGGAUUGAUACCUUGAAGCGCUUCAGCUUCAGAGAAUCUGGUCUUGUGAUUUGUUGAGAUUAGAAUCAAAGCGGAGAGUUGUUUAAGCAGCCUCUAGACCAGAGCCUCGAACAUGAGGUUUUUGCUCUGACUCACUUUUCGCAAACCGCACAAAAAAAGUCUACUUUCCCAGCAGCAACUGAACGGCAGCCAAUAGUUCAGAUUACAAACAGACACACACACACACACACACAUCAAAUCCUUCUGUUUACAUUUCUCUUCCAGGCCUUAGAAUAGAUGACACUCAAGCACAACUAAUUAUAUGUUUCUAUACUGUGUAUAUGCUGUGGGCUGCAUACACUGAAAGGAUGACAAAAGACUCUGGAAGCUCUGGUUAUUUGACGCAUUGAUCCACAAAGUCAAGAUCAUUAAUGGAAUUAAUUAGCACAAUAUAUUGAUUACCUGACUGACUAAUACAUUUUAAUGCAUAAUAGUAUUUUACAGAUGCAAUUUAUGUGGACUAGAAACUAAUCUAUUUCCUCUUUAAACAACAGAAAACUGCACUUGGGGGAAAUCCCUUUACUCUUAUUAAGUUUGGAAGCAAUAAAUCAGUGCGUCCACUAGAUGGAAAUGUUUGACAGUUGUGGAGAGCAAAUAAAGUCUCACGUGCUUCAGGUCUGAAGUGAUGCUCCUACGUCUGAGUGAGAAUAGAGGUAGAGGUAUGAAUAGAAUCAGGGAAUAUGUGGAAAUACACAAACGACUCUAAAGCGACAAACAACCUGUUUUGAACUCACCAGACUGGUUUUAGAGCAUAUUUGAUGCUUUUAAAUAUUGUUGUUUUUUGUUUUUGUUUUUUUCUCUGUACCAAUUGGGAUAAUGUAGUGUGUCUGUACCAUAGACAAUUACUUUUGACUUAACUUAGAGCCAGAGUCUGCAGAGUAGUGAUCAUUGUAGCGUGCCACGGUAUUCGAGGUCUUGCAGAUACAUGGUCUCGACCAAUGGUGAGUCAGUCCCAGUGUCAGACCGUUUUAAUUGCAUCAAAUAACUCAUUUAAACCAAACUUUCUAUAAAAAACACGUGGACAAACACAAGUGUGAAAAUAACUAGUUUUUUUUAAACUAUACUCCAGCCAGCCACCAGGGGGUGAUCAAGACAGUUUAACUUCACUUCCGGGGAGCUGUCAUUUGCACCGUCUUUAUAUAUACUCUGUGAUUUGUACUGUUUCUAUAAAUGUGUUUAAUUAAUUGAGUGAAAAAAAAAACAUUUGUGUACAAUGGUCAAUGGUUUUCUAAUUUGUGAGAAUGUCUGCUGGGAAAGGCGACGCACGUCUUAGGUGCAGAUGAGUUAGAGUUCAUGUCAUUUCCAUGUCUC